rnacentral:rRNA from 1 species
GAUGAACGCUAGCGGAACGCCUAACACAUGCAAGUCGAACGGAUUUUAUUUUGUAGCAAUACAGGAUAAAAUUAGUGGCAGACGAGCGAGUAACGCGUACUUAACCUGCCCUUGAGUUGUGCAUAACUAUGGAGACAUAGCUAAUUCACGAUAUGCUCACGAUGGUGAAAGACCAAUGUGAGGAAAGAUUUAUCGCUCAAGGAGGGGGGUGCGUCCUAUCAGGUAGUUGGUGAGGUAACGGCUCACCAAGCCUAUGACGGGUAGCCGGUCUGAGAGGAUGACCGGUCGCGAUGGGACUGAGAUACGGCCCAUACUCCUACGGGUGGCUGG